GCCCAAGAGAUCGGGAUAACACCUGGAAACAGAUGCUAAUACCGGAUAACAAUAGAUGAUGCCUAUCAACUGUUUAAAAGAUGGUUCUGCUAUCACUCUUGGAUGGACCUGCGGUGCAUUAGCUAGUUGGUAGGGUAACGGCCUGCCAAGGCGAUGAUGCAUAGCCGAGUUGAGAGACUGAUCGGCCACAUUGGGACUGAGACACGGCCCAAACUCCUACGGGAGGCAGCAGGC
rnacentral:rRNA from 1 species